UACGUAGGGUGCGAGCGUUGUCCGGAAUUAUUGGGAGUAAAGAGCUCGUAGGCGGUCUGUCGCGUCGAUCGUGAAAACUUGGGGCUUAACCCUGAGCUUGCGGUCGAUACGGGCAUGACUGGAGUUCGGCAGGGGAGACUGGAAUUCCUGGUGUAGCGGUGAAAUGCGCAGAUAUCUGGAGGAACACCAGUGGCGAAGGCGGCUUCCUGGCCUGUAACUGACGCUGAGACGCGAAAGCGUGGGGAGCGAACCGG
rnacentral:rRNA from 1 species